CACCACGGGGGUCACCACGGGGGUCACCACGGAGGCCAUCACGGAGGGCAUCACGGUCAUCAUGGUUGAUUCAGCAGCGACUUCCGUUUGCCAGCAUGACAAAUAAAACUUUUCUGAAGAUUU